rnacentral:rRNA from 1 species
AUAAUGGGUCAGCGACUUAUAUUCUGUAGCAAGGUUAACCGAAUAGGGGAGCCGAAGGGAAACCGAGUCUUAACUGGGCGUUAAGUUGCAGGGUAUAGACCCGAAACCCGGUGAUCUAGCCAUGGGCAGGUUGAAGGUUGGGUAACACUAACUGGAGGACCGAACCGACUAAUGUUGAAAAAUUAGCGGAUGACUUGUGGCUGGGGGUGAAAGGCCAAUCAAACCGGGAGAUAGCUGGUUCUCCCCGAAAGCUAUUUAGGUAGCGCCUCGUGAAUUCAUCUCCGGGGGUAGAGCACUGUUUCGGCAAGGGGGUCAUCCCGACUUACCAACCCGAUGCAAACUGCGAAUACCGGAGAAUGUUAUCACGGGAGACACACGGCGGGUGCUAACGUCCGUCGUGAAGAGGGAAACAACCCAGACCGCCAGCUAAGGUCCCAAAGUCAUGGUUAAGUGGGAAACGAUGUGGGAAGGCCCAGACAGCCAGGAUGUUGGCUUAGAAGCAGCCAUCAUUUAAAGAAAGCGUAAUAGCUCACUGGUCGAGUCGGCCUGCGCGGAAGAUGUAACGGGGCUAAACCAUGCACCGAAGCUGCGGCAGCGACGCUGAUGCGUUGUUGGGUAGGGGAGCGUUCUGUAAGCCUGCGAAGGUGUGCUGUGAGGCAUGCUGGAGGUAUCAGAAGUGCGAAUGCUGACAUAAGUAACGAUAAAGCGGGUGAAAAGCCCGCUCGCCGGAAGACCAAGGGUUCCUGUCCAACGUUAAUCGGGGCAGGGUGAGUCGACCCCUAAGGCGAGGCCGAAAGGCGUAGUCGAUGGGAAACAGGUUAAUAUUCCUGUACUUGGUGUUACUGCGAAGGGGGGACGGAGAAGGCUAUGUUGGCCGGGCGACGGUUGUCCCGGUUUAAGCGUGUAGGCUGGUUUUCCAGGCAAAUCCGGAAAAUCAAGGCUGAGGCGUGAUGACGAGGCACUACGGUGCUGAAGCAACAAAUGCCCUGCUUCCAGGAAAAGCCUCUAAGCAUCAGGUAACAUCAAAUCGUACCCCAAACCGACACAGGUGGUCAGGUAGAGAAUACCAAGGCGCUUGAGAGAACUCGGGUGAAGGAACUAGGCAAAAUGGUGCCGUAACUUCGGGAGAAGGCACGCUGAUAUGUAGGUGAAGUCCCUCGCGGAUGGAGCUGAAAUCAGUCGAAGAUACCAGCUGGCUGCAACUGUUUAUUAAAAACACAGCACUGUGCAAACACGAAAGUGGACGUAUACGGUGUGACGCCUGCCCGGUGCCGG